AGAGGAAGAGGACGCGAGCGAGCAGAUGGAGGCCUGUUAAAAGCUGGUGACUAUUUAAAGAGGGAGGAAGGGGGUUUCUGUGCUUGUAUGCUCAUCUUGUUCCCAAGGCCAGUUCUAGUAAAUCCUUUUAGAGAGAAAGAGAUGAAGCCAUCUGUUAAUGUGGAUUUUGCUUUAGGUUUCCAAAUAUUAUAGCUGUCAGCAGAGCAGCCAGCUUAAGUGGUGGGGUUGGGAGAGUAGAAGAGGAUAUUCAGAAGGAACACCUGUCCACUGAAUGCCCCACUAAACAGAAACAAAUCCUGGGGCGACCCCUCUCUGAUUCCUGGAGUGCUUUCUCUGGGCAGUGCUCCUUCUCCAUGGCUUUGGGAGUUUCUCUUCCAUGACGUAGGCAAGAGGGAGAGAGGUGCCAGCUCUCACAAUUGAGAGCCCUUUGGCCGAGUGUGUUGUGGGAGGGUGGAGCGUGCCACAAAGGCUUAAAGAAAUGGAUGACCAACUUAAAACAUUCUGGAUUAUUUGAAGGUUUAGCUUAAAAAAACAACCCCAGUUCAGAAUUCAGCGAAAAGAACAAUACCAUUAAGGAAAAAGAGCAGGGUAGGAAACCCACACAGAGGAAUGGAUCUGCCCAUGCAGCCCGAAUGACAGGGGCGCACUCUGAGGAAAGGAGUUUUGCAGAGAAAGUCAUUCCGACUCUUCUCUCUCGGGCCACAGUCUGUGAUAAUUCCUCCAUAAAAGCAUUAAUAGGAAAUAAAUCUAAAACCCAGAGGGCUAGUGGUCGUGGGCCACAGUUCCCAGGAGCCCUUCCCUGAGGCCAGGGGAGGUCCCUCUCCACCCCCCUCGCCUGGCGCGGAAUGUGGCGAUCCUGCCCUAGGCAGGGAUGACUUCAUGCGGUGGGUCUGGGCAGCUGAGCAGCUGCUGCGGCCGGCAGGUAAGGUGGGGGCCGUGGUGACCGACCGUGCACACCCCGGUGGAGGCUCUGCCGCCGGACUGCUGCGGGCUCCAGGGACGUGAGCUGACUGGAUCCCGAGAAGUUUCUUGAGUUUCUGGGAAGGCCUGGUUUCCCCAAAGGAGCAAUUUCUGGUAGAAGUCUGAAGGUCUGAUCAAAGAAAAAAAAUCCAGCAUAGCCAAUGAAUUAAGGACAAGAAGGUUUCCACUCAGUCCCUGCUAUGCGGAUAUUUGUUAGCAAUGACUGAUGUGGAAACCACAUAUGCAGAUUUUAUUGCUUCGGGAAGAACAGGUAGAAGAAAUGCAAUACAUGACAUCCUGGUUUCCUCCGCAAGUGGCAACAGCAAUGAAUUAGCCUUGAAAUUAGCAGGUCUUGAUAUCAACAAGACAGAAGGUGAGGAAGAUGCUCAACGAAGCUCAACAGAACAGAGUGGGGAAGCUGAGGGGGAAGCAGCCAAAUCUGAAAGCUAAUACCCCACUUUUAUCUUCCUCUACCUGACCAUGUCUCAGCUCUCCAGGCCUGGUUGGAUUGCAUUUGUAUACAUGAGUGACAAAGGGAGAAAGAACAUGGUUGUUCCACACAGCAGGAACCUGCUCGCUGUCAUGUUAAACAUGGGGGCAGAGGCUCUGGCUGCAGACAGACUCUUCUCUGCCCUUGUCAUUAGCAAUGGCUGAAGUCAUGUGGCUUGUGUCUGGACAUCAUUAUGUAUGGAUCCUUUCACUUGACCACAUGAUGAAAUGCUUGUAGACAGUAGCAGUGACCUAGAUGAUGAUUCUCCCUGUAGCAUCUGGCCCCUCCCAAUGUCAGAGGAUUUAAUUGUGUGUAAUUGCAAAGGGUUGGUUGAACCCCAGAGUUUAACUAUCUCUGGCCCAAGUAUUCACCCAGUAAGAAUACCAUCCAGAAAGCACUGUUUUUAGCAUUUUGUGUCCAUGUGUUCCUGCUGUGUUACUUACACUUUUUUGUAUUGUACAAUAGAGAUGCUUGGCACUGCCCUCUUCUUUGAUUGCUCAUGAAAAACAAAAAUAAUGUACAUUACUGUGAAUUUUUAUACUACUCAUUUUUUAAAGGGCUGUCUUUUUUCUUUUCCAUAGUGUGGUGGUGUACACAGGAUAGAACAUACUUUUUUUUAACAAUCUUUCCCCUUGAUCCACUGCUGAUGGAUCAAUUAAGUCUAAUAGAUUCAACAAGACUCCUUUGCUUUUUAUGCAGGCAUUUGGAAUUUUCCAUUAAUGUGAAUAUUACCUGAAAUCAGUUUGUUUGGUGUCUGCACAGACCAGAAUUUCACCUGCAAAUCUUGUUUUAUUCCCAAGAAUAAAGUGGAACACUUUUCCCAACUAAUAUUUUUAUCUUUAAUUAUGAGGAUUUAAAGAAUUGGGAAGGUAGAAAAGAGAAGCCAAGAUAGUGAUAACUAAUAGAAAUGUUUUAUUCUUAUAGAAUCAAAUUUCUCACAAUGCUGUAUUUUUCUCACAAUGUUUAAAUUUGGAAGACAGCACAGGAAAAUGAAAAUAAUGGAGAAAAUGAUCUCCUUGCAAUCAUGUGGACACCAAUCACAAAGCUAACACCCUUGUGUUGUGUUUUUCUUGUCCUUUUUCAGCCCUAUCAGAUCCAAAUAUUAUUAUGCACUUUUUAAUGUUUGUAAACUUUUACUAAUAACUAGUGUGAAUUACAUUCUGAUAGAAUAAUCAUCAUAAUUAGAAGCUAACAAAAUCCUCAUUAAUACUGUUGAUGGCCUCAGCUGUGUUUUGACAUCAUGGUUCUUAUUUGGAAAGUUUCUGUGAGCUGUGUGAUCCCUCUGGUCAGUAUUAUGAACUCACUUAUCAGUGGUAAUAAAUUGGCUCAUGAAUUACUGAACAACAGGAAGAACUUUACAAUAAAGAGCCCACUUAACUGUCCUCGAGGUCUUAGUAUAGUCCCAUGUAAAGCAGGCUAAACAGCAUUUCAACAGGUAGCUGUAUAAGGACUUACCAAGAACUCGUCCCUCCUUUGUACUUGCAAAUGAGAUGAAAGAUAAGUCUGCCCUCACCCCUUCCCUUUACAGUACUUUUCAAAUGAGAAGGAUAGUGGGGCAUAGGUAUCAUUUGGUCCUCAAUCAUAGAUUCCUAGGGGGAAAAAUGUUAUAGCAUGAGUCUCUC